rnacentral:rRNA from 1 species
GACGUAGGGCGCGAGCGUUGUCCGGAUUUAUUGGGCGUAAAGAGCUCGUAGGCGGCUUGUCGCGUCGUCCGUGAAAACCCACAGCUCAACUGUGGGCUUGCGGUCGAUACGGGCAGGCUAGAGUUCGGUAGGGGAGACUGGAAUUCCUGGUGUAGCGGUGAAAUGCGCAGAUAUCGAGAGGAACACCUGCGGCGAAGGCGGGUAGCUGGGCCGACACUGACGCUGAUGCGCGAAAGCCAGGGGAGCGAACGGG